AAUAUGUGUAGCACUAAAUAUAUAGAUACAGAUACAGAUUGUGGCAGUGCAUUACACUUCUAAUACACUAUAUG